UACUGACUCUUAAUUUCAUUAGUGGCUAACAGUAUUACCUUAAUUUCAGGAGCACCUGACAAUUCAAUCACAAGUGCUUGAGAGGCUGAUUGUCAAUCACCCACGUCAUGUGUUCAAAUCAACCCCUGAUCCUCUCCCCAUUUGAGGAGCACUUUGGGUCAUUGGUCCUGACUCAGCACCCACUGCCCUGUUGCCUUCGAUGCAAACCCAGCCAUCAACUGGUAUCAGUCUUGGAAGAUAUAGAGCUCUUCUCCUAUAGACACUGAAUGUAAUCUAUCAACAGAUGUAAUGUUUUUACAGUUAUCAGAAACAUAGGAAAAAAAAGAAAGGAGGAUUCUUGUAUACAGCGCAUUCAGUAAUUAAUAAGUCAAUUUGUGCGUCAAAGAAGCAACAAUUUGUUCAAAAAUUUUCAAUCAUCUUAUCCAUCUGCCAAAGCAUUUCAGAGAUAAGUACUUUAACAGUUUCUGGAACCUGUCCUUACCAAACAUUUGUCUUUCCAUCUGUAAUUAGAUUUUUUAAGAAGUGCUUUUCUUAAUUAAGAAAAUGCUCAUUUUAUAUUUUCACAGAUGAUAAAAUUGAAACGAUAAAAGCUGUUUUGAUUGUUUUUUAAAACGUUGAAAGUAAUUCACUUGAUAGUUGAGAAAGACAAAAACAAACUGUGUAAUGACUAUUGUAUCUGAUCAAAACUGAAAAUAUGUACAUUUUCUGAACACAACAGUGUGAUAUUAACUCUAACCAUCUUUUUGCUAAUUAUAGAAAUUGACCAAAUAUAAGAAUAAAUGUUAUGCGGUAAAACUGGAUUACCA
rnacentral:lncRNA from 1 species